UGAUUGGACCUUCCGCUUGCGUGGCUAGUCACUUUUCGCCACGUUUUUUUCGGCAACGUGUUCAGUAGGCACUACCCUUCCGUAGAGAAUGUGGAGAGAGAGAAAGAGAGAGAAAGGAGUUUUGAGGGGCGAGUACAAGGAUGUUUCGUUAUCGAAGACCGUUUGCACAACAAACGGGCCAAAAAAAAAUAUCACCAAGUACCAGUGCGUUUCCAAAUUUAUCGACUCGGCUACAAAAAUGACUUGAUAAGUAAGAAUGUCAAAGUCUAAAAAUAGAGCAGAAGUCGAUCAAACUUUGUUUAAUGCAUUUGCAAUUAUCUCUCUUAAUCAGAAACAUGUUAACAGUCAUGCAUCUGCAUUCGCCGAAAAGUUCGGAUCUCAGAUGGGCGUCGGAGCUGUUGAGAAUUAAUUGUCUGUGGAGCUAGCCCAUGCUACCUGCCCUGCCCUGACCCCCGAUUUGAUGUUUUUAUCAAACAGUGCACAACUCCCUUUGAAACGGUUGCAUGUUCAAAGAACAGUAAAAAUUUCAAAAAAAAAGCAACGUCACUUCUGGAAAAACCACGCCCAUCGAAAAAGCAUUCUUGGAUCUUUUGAAUGAACAGCGGCUUUGCAUACAGAAGAAUUUUAUCAGACAUAAUCGCUUAUGUCAAGACCACCUACAUCAUUUUUUUCAAAAAAGAAGAAGCACAAGAAUGUUUUCUUUCAAAGACACGUAUCUUCUAUGAAAUGAAUGUUUCCGUUGUUAUUUUUAUCAUAUAUUUAUAUUGACAUUUGUUCAAUAAAGUUCUUUAUGUUU
rnacentral:misc_RNA from 1 species